ACGACCAAUCACCAAUCACUCACCACCAAAUAGUGGCGGACGGGUGAGUAACGCGUGGAUAACCUGCCUGAAUGACCGGGACAACACCGGGAAACUGGUGCUAAUACCGGAUAAUCUCUUGAGUACACAAGUACAUAAGAGGAAAGGAUUUAACUUUCGCAUUCAGAUGGGUCCGCGUCCCAUUAGCUAGUUGGUGGUGUAAAGGGCCACCAAGGCGACGAUGGGUAGCCGGCCUGAGAGGGUGGGCGGCCACACUGGAACUGAGACACGGUCCAGACUCCUACGGGAGGCAGCAGUGGGGAAUCUUCCGCAAUGGGCGCAAGCCUGACGGAGCAACGCCGCGUGAAUGAAGAAGGCCUUCGGGUUGUAAAAUUCUGUCUUUGGGGAAGAAAAAAAUGACGGUACCCAAGGAGGAAGCCCCGGCUAACUACGUGCCAGCAGCCGCGGUAAAACGUAGGGGGCAAGCGUUGUCCGGAAUUACUGGGCGUAAAGGGCGUGUAGGCGGUCACUUAAGUCAGGGGUGAAAACUGUGGGCUCAACCCACAGCCUGCCUUUGAAACUGGGUGGCUUGAGGACAGGAGAGGGGAGUGGAAUUCCCAGUGUAGCGGUGAAAUGCGUAGAUAUUGGGAGGAACACCAGUGGCGAAGGCGGCUCUCUGGCCUGUUUCUGACGCUGAGACGCGAAAGCGUGGGUAGCGAACGGGAUUAGAUACCCCGGUAGUCCACGCCGUAAACGAUGGGGGGUUAGGGGUUGGAGGGUUUGGACCCCUUUUGUUCGGUAGUUAACCCAAUAAGCACCCCCGCCUGGGGACUACGGCCGCAAGGCUAAAAACUCAAAGGAAUUGACGGGGGCCCGCACAAGCGGUGGAGCAUGUGGUUUAAUUCGACGCAACGCGAAGAACCUUACCAGGGUUUGACAUGCAGGUGAAUAAUGUAGAGAUACAUUAGUCCUUCGGGACACCUGUGCAGGUGGUGCAUGGUUGUCGUCAGCUCGUGUCGUGAGAUGUUGGGUUAAGUCCCGCAACGAGCGCAACCCCUGUUGCUAGUUGCCAUCAUUAAGUUGGGCACUCUAGCGAGACUGCCGGUGACAAAUCGGAGGAAGGUGGGGACGACGUCAAAUCAUCAUGCCCCUUAUGUCCUGGGCUACACACGUACUACAAUGGCUAUAACAGCAGGGAGCUAAGGAGUAAUCCGGAGCGAAUCCUCAAAAAUAGUCCCAGUUCGAAUUGUGGGCUGAAACCCGCCCACAUGAAGUCGGAAUUGCUAGUAAUGGCAGGUCAGCAUACUGCCGUGAAUACGUUCCCGGGUCUUGUACACACCGCCCGUCA
rnacentral:rRNA from 1 species